UGGGCGGCGUGAGCCGACGACAAGUGCAGCAGAGAGAAGACCGCCUAAGCAUGUUUACAUGCCGGUAAGGGUGAAAGGGUGCGGUAAGAGCGCACCGCGCCUCUGGUAACAGAGUGUGGCAAGGUAAACUCCACCCGGAGCAAGACCAAAUAGGAUCCCUCAACGUGUGGCCCGCAUGGGGAUCGGGUAGGUUGCUUGAAUCAGUGAGCGAUUGCUGAUCUAGAGGAAUGGUUGCCCACGACAGAACCCGGCUUACGGC
rnacentral:RNase_P_RNA from 11 species